rnacentral:rRNA from 1 species
UACAGAGGUCUCGAGCGUUGUUCGGAUUCAUUGGGCGUAAAGGGUGCGUAGGUGGCGCUGUAAGUCGGGUGUGAAAUCCUGAGGCUUAACCUCGGAACUGCAUUCGAUACUGCGGUGCUUGAGGACUGGAGAGGAGACUGGAAUUCAUGGUGUAGCAGUGAAAUGCGUAGAGAUCAUGAGGAAGACCAGUGGCGAAGGCGGGUCUCUGGACAGUUCCUGACACUGAGACACGAAGGCCAGGGGAGCAAACGGG